rnacentral:misc_RNA from 1 species
CAGAGUUGCAAAACUCCCAAACCAUCGUGAACGCUACCUAUAUCGUUGCUUCGGCGGGCGGCGCGCGCCGCCCCCGCCGGAGGCCUACCAAACUCUUGAAUUUUCGUGGCCUCUCUGAGUCUUCUGUAUAUGAAUAAGUCA